AAGUUGCAAAAUAAGAAGGCUCGAGAGGCAGAUGUGAAGGCUAGCCAGGAUAUAUUUGCUGCAAGGUGGGGUUAUUGACAGUUGAACACAGACCGACGUUGUUAGUAGAUUAUUGCGCCUCACCUAUUUCUAGAAUUUCAGGAACAGGAGCAUAGAAAACAUGAUAACAAUUGAUCUGCACGGGCAACAUAUUAAGCAAGCAAUGAAGGUUUUGAAGCUCCACCUUCUGUUUGGAGCAUAUGUACGAUGUAAGAUUCCACACCACCUCUUCUUACUAGUCAAUCACCAGUUUGGAAUUGGUUCACUUAAAAUCCAACACUUCAUUCAACAAUAACCUUCUGUUAUUGUGCGACUUUGUGCAUGGAAACACCAAGAAGGGUGUUUGUAAUGCAGUUUCCAUAUAAUAUCAGAUAUGUGAUACAGAUAUUGAGUGUAAAUUGCUUAUUAUCCCACUCAUUCUUCACAAGAGUAUGCCUAUAAUCUUUUUCUUCCUUUUUUCUAUUUGAACUUGUAGAUGGAAGUUGGAAUUGAGGACUGCCUUCAUAUCGAGUUUGAGUACAAUAAGAGCAAGUAUGCAAUGCUAACUCUCAACUCUGUUUACCAGUCCAUUUGAGACAGAACUGAAUUUCAAUUCUUGGUGCUGCUUAGGUCAUGUAGGUGAAGUAUUAUAUGAUUAUGUGAUUGGGGAUCAUUUAAAAGACCUCGAUUGAGAUAAUGAAUUGUUCAAUUUUGUUUAUAUCUAUAGGAAUACUGUGUACUUUACAUAUAGGAAUGCAUAAGCAGAGGUAAUGCCUUAAUAAAUUGGUGCUGCUUACCAUAUCCUUUUUCAGUUUCCUUAAUAAAUUGAGGAAUGCAUAAGCAGAGGUAAUGCCUCUCACGAAGUGUUGAAUCAGUGAAUACAUCAGUUUCUAAUUUUGCUGCAAGAUUUAUUUGCUGGCUGCUUCUCUGUCAUUUGUGACAAAAGUGUUUUGGUGUAACUGUAGGUUCUUGAACCGGGCAGCGCUGAAGAGUCUAGAAGAGNGCUGUCGCCGGUCGAGCUCUCAAUCGCAGACCCUAGGAGCCGCCGCUGUCGCCGCCGCCUUCUACAAUAGCCACCACCAAGGUAGAAUCCCUAAUUAUACAUCCCUUACGCAAAUCUCAUUCCAAAUCCCUAAUUUUUGAACUUUGUUGGUAACAAUAUGAUUUAGAUUAGGGCUUUUGCUCGAACUUUGUUGUCAAUCCUUGUUUAAUAUACCCACUCCUAAGUCAGCCGAACAAGAACCUAACAAAAUGAACUGGAGAAACAUAGUUAAGAAAAUGGUUUCCCUUCGUCAAGGAUUUACAGAUGAUGAAAUUGAACAGAAACAGCAGCAUAUCCAUGGUACUUACAAAAAGUACUGAUAAAUAUGUUUGCUGAUUGGCUAUAUUCUCUCUAAUUUUUUAUUUGUUUGGUUAUUGCUGAUGCAUAUUGAUUUUUGUUCUCUGCUGCUGCAUCAGUCCCCUUUUCUGUGUGUUCUCUUGUCACUCACUCCUAAUUGAUAAGCUCUGCCAAAAUUAUGUGUUAUGUCUGCUCAAACUUAAUUUAACUUCUCUUAAACUUGUAGCUAAAGGAGACGAUUAUCAUGUGCUCAGGGAAGCCGCACACGAGCACUGGGAUUCAAUGAAAUCGUACUAUCAAAAGGUCGUGACUGCUGUAUCCUUACACGACUCUAUAAUUUAUUUCUGUUGUGGAUCUGUUAAAUCUAAGAAGGUUUAUUUUGUCUGCAGGCUGUUACAGCAUUUCAAGUGGGAGAGAGCAUAUGCAUCUUAUCUUUCUGAGCAGGUAUUUUACCUUAAGAUUAGCCCCUAUGCUCUCUCCGAGUGGUCUUCUCAUUCUAUUGGUGUGUGUAUACUGUAUAUUUUCUUAGAAGAAGGCUCGUGUCUGGGGUUGCUAUUGUUUUAUAAUUCUAUCUUGGAAGCAAACCUACAGUGUAUUCCUUUCUCCAUAUUUGAUGUUACCAUAUCCUUUAAGCAAUUCCUUUAAAUAAUGCUUUGCCUUCUAAAAGUUUUGGAUUUAGUUGCUACAUGCUUUGGUUCUUGUUUAGAUGCCUCACUGCACAUGUAUUUAAGUGUGUAUCAUAUUCCAUUAGUUAAAAUUAACUUGUUAUAAGUUAGUCUUCUGAAAAUCCUUACUUUAUGUGUGUACCACGAUGUAGUUUGGUUAAAUCUUAUGUUGCAUAGUAAUGUUUACGAGAUCUCUCUGGAUGACUGCAGGGGAAGUUGCAAAAUAAGAAGGCUCGAGAGGCAGAUGUGAAGGCUAGCCAGGAUAUAUUUGCUGCAAGGUGGGGUUAUUGACAGUUGAACACAGACCGACGUUGUUAGUAGAUUAUUGCGCCUCACCUAUUUCUAGAAUUUCAGGAACAGGAGCAUAGAAAACAUGAUAACAAUUGAUCUGCACGGGCAACAUAUUAAGCAAGCAAUGAAGGUUUUGAAGCUCCACCUUCUGUUUGGAGCAUAUGUACGAUGUAAGAUUCCACACCACCUCUUCUUACUAGUCAAUCACCA
rnacentral:lncRNA from 1 species